GCCGGCACUGCAGCUGCCUUAGCGUUUUUGAGUCAGGAGAGCCGAACGCGGGCCGGGGGUGUCGGGGGCCUACGGGUCCCGGCCCCGGUCACUAUGGACAGUUUUUUCUUCGCUCUGCCUCACCGAGGGAGCCAAAGACGAGUGUAAUGUGGUAGAAGUUGUGGCCCGGAACCAUGACCAUCAGGAGAUCGCAGUCCCUGUGGCCAACCUCAAGCUGUCCUGCCAACCCAUGCUCAGUCUGGAUGACUUCCAGCUCCAACCACCUGUAACCUUCCGCCUGAAGUCGGGCUCUGGCCCUGUGCGGAUCACUGGGCGGCACCAGAUUGUUACGAUGAGCAAUGAUGUUUCUGAGGAGGAGAGCGAGGAAGAGGAAGAGGAAGAGGACAGUGAUGAGGAAGAAGCUGAGCUGUGCCCCAUCCUUCCUGCCAAAAAGCAGGGGGGCAGGCCCUAGCCCUCCUUGGUCAGCUCCAUGCGCCAUGCACCCUGUUCCCUGACAAGUUUCAACAAUUGCAAAUAUUUCUUCCUUGAAGAGGAGAGCUUGGGUGGGGGUUGGGUGGGAGGGACUUGGGUCUUUGGUGCUAGGAGAGGGCCCGUGCUCCACACAGCCCUGGUUUUCUGAUUUUGCACCAUGCCCGGGGCCUCUCUUCCCACCUGCCUGUGAGGAUUGGAGGUUAGUGCCUGAAGCUCAGAACUACACAUUUUUAAUAGUUUUUACAUUUUUGGACAAAGGUUGAAAUAAAGUGGUGUGGAGU
rnacentral:sRNA from 1 species